GAAUGAACAGGGAAGAGCUCAAAUCUAUAACCGUGUUCACGGAUACGAGAUGUGACCUCGUGUGCGUUCACCAGCUGCUCCUACGUCGUUAGUUGUUUGGAACAACACAUAAUCACGGGUGAAAAUCCCAUCUGUCGACCUUAUGGAGGCGCGUACGGUGUGCGUUCCCCGAGUCGCGCACCCUGGGACGGGUGCGUAAAUUCGGUGGUAAGUUUCAUCGAAAGCUCAAUAUUUCCUCGAGUCCGAUAGCGAACAAGUACCAUGAGGGAAAGGUGAAAAGUACUUUGAAAAGAGAGUUAAACGUGCCUGAAAUCGUUGUGAAUCAAGCGAUUGGAAUCAACGUCGUUGGGCGAAGUUGUUUCAUCCUGCUUUGACGAGUUUUCGUUCUGGUUGGUUUGGCGCGGUUUGUUGUUCCGGAUCCCCUUGAAGACAUCUGACACUGGUGGAUGAGCCGUCUACACCGCCGAUUGAAAUUUCUUCGGAAUGAUCUUUCGGAAGUGGCGGCUUU
rnacentral:rRNA from 1 species